rnacentral:lncRNA from 1 species
GUGUGUUGGAUUUCCGUGGUCUCCUCAACCAGGGCAACCACAGAGAGACCUCCUGGUGGCAAAGGCCAGCAUCCUGCUUUCCUAAGCAUCUGAAAUGAAGGCUCUUCGGGUCCAACACCUGAGUCCUUGAGCUGACAAGACAGAAUUUGAGCUUCCAUAUUCAUCUGCUAACUCCUUCCUCCGCUGAGAAGUCUGCUUUCGUGAGGUUGCAUGGCUGACAGUCAUUUGGCUUCUUGGGCUGAUCCACAAGACCAGUAGCAUUAUGGGAAGGAGCUGGGAAGGAGCUGGGAAGGCCAGGAAGAUGCUCCUGAGCACCAGUUUCAAUGAGCAGAGGAACAACGGGCUUUAUGGACCAUUUCAUUCUGGAGUGCCAAGUAAACUAAGGUCCUUGCAGGCAGAGACAUUAUCCAGAACGUUCGGAGCAGAGGCAGUAUAAUUCACCACAUGAAAGAAAACCUUCACUAAGUUAAAAUCUUUGCUGUGCUGGGGCAUUGAAAAUAUUUGGAAAAUAAUCUUCAUUCC